AUACGGAGGGUGCAAGCGUUAUUCGGAAUCACUGGGCGUAGAGGACGCGUAGGCGGGUUGGCAAGUCAGAUGUGAAAUCCUACAGCUUAACUGUAGAACUGCAUUUGAAACUGCUAACCUAGAGUAUGGGAGGGGGAGAUGGAAUUAGUGGUGUAGGGGUAAAAUCCGUAGAUAUCACUAGGAAUACCGAAAGCGAAGGCGAUCUCCUGGAACAUAACUGACGCUAAGGCGUGAAAGCGUGGGGAGCAAACAGGAUUAGAAACCCUAGUAGUCC
rnacentral:rRNA from 1 species